rnacentral:tRNA from 1 species
GUUUACAUAAUUCAUAUAGAAUAUUGCGUUGAAGCCGCAAAAGAGACAGUUUAUGUCUGUAAACA